UGGGGAAUUUUGGACAAUGGGGGCAACCCUGAUCCAGCCAUGCCGCGUGAGUGAAGAAGGCCUUCGGGUUGUAAAGCUCUUUCGGCCGGGAAGAAAUCGCAUAGGUUAAUACCCUGUGUGGAUGACGGUACCGGAAUAAGAAGCACCGGCUAACUACGUGCCAGCAGCCGCGGUAAUACGAAGGGGGCUAGCGUUGCUCGGAAUUACUGGGCGUAAAGCGCACGCAGGCGGUCUGUUAAGUCAGAUGUGAAAUCCCCGGGCUCAACCUGGGACCUGCAUUUGUGACUGUAUAGCUAGAGUACGGUAGAGGGGGAUGGAAUUCCGCGUGUAGCAGUGAAAUGCGUAGAUAUGCGGAGGAACACCGAUGGCGAAGGCAGCCUCCUGGGCCAGUACUGACGCUCAUGCACGAAAGCGUGGGGAGCAAACA
rnacentral:rRNA from 1 species